UUCGUCCGCUGGACUCGGAAUGGCGCGAGACUUUGCGAGGUGCCUCCGUGUGCCAAAAAUAGGCUGCGGGCAUAGCCGCACCCAAAAAUAACCACCCGAAGGCCGGGGCGCCAAGUUCGUCCAGCGGAAAAAGGCCACAAAAACGGGUGGGCUAUAGCCUUGGGGGGUGGGGCUGCCCAACUUCGUCCGCCGGACUCGGAAUGGCGCGAGACUUUGCGAGGUGCCUCCAUGUGCCAAAAAUAGGCCGCGGGCACAGCCGUGGCCAAAAAUAACGUCCCGAAGGCCGGGGCGCCAAGUUCGUGCAGCGGAAAAAGGCCACAAAAACGGGUGGGCUAUAGCCUUGGGGGGUGGGGCUGGCCGACUUCGUCCGCCGGACUCGGAAUUGCGCGAGACUUUGGGAGGUGCCUCCGUGUGCCAAAAAUAGGCUGCGGGCACAGCCGCGCCCAAAAAUAACCGCCCGAAGGCCGGGGCGCCAAGUUCGUCCAGGGGAAAAAGGCCCCAAAAACGGGUGGGCUAUAGCCUUGGGGGGUGGGGUUGGCCAACUUCGUCCGCCGGACUCGGAAUGGCGCGAGACUUUGUGAGCGGCCUCCGUGUGCCAAAAAUCGGCCGCGGGCACAGCCGCGCCCAAAAAUAACCGCCCGAAGGCAGGGGCGCCAAGUUCGUCCAGCGGAAAAAGGCCACAAAAACGGGUGGGCUAUAGCCUUGGGGGGUGGGGCUGGCAAAGUUCGUCCGCCGGACUCGAAAUGGCGCGAGACUUUGCGAGCGGCCUCCGUGUGCCGAAAAUAGGCCGCGGGCACAGCCGCGCCCAAAAAUAACUACUCGAAAGCCCGGGGCACCCAGUUCGUCCAGCGGAAAAAGCCCACNNNNNNNNNNNNNNNNNNNNNNNNNNNNNNNNNNNNNNNNNNNNNNNNNNNNNNNNNNNNNNNNNNNNNNNNNNNNNNNNNNNNNNNNNNNNNNNNNNNNNNNNNNNNNNNNNNNNNGCCGAGCCCAAAAAUAACCGCCCGAAGGCCGGGGCGCCAAGUUCGUCCAGCGGAAAAAGGCCACAAAAACCGGUGGGCUACAGGCUUGGGGCGUGGGGCUGGCCAACUUCGUCCGCCGGACUCGGAAUGGCGCGAGACUUUGUGAGGCGCCUCCAUGUGCCAAAAAUAGGCCGCGGGUACAGCCGCACCCGAAAAUAACCGCCCGAACACCGGCGCGCCAAGUUCGUCCAGCGGAAAAUGGCCACCAAAAAUGGUGGGCUAUAGCUUCGGGGGGUGUGGCUGGCCAACUUCGUCCGCCGGACUCGGAAUGGCAUGAGACUUUGCGAGGCACCUCCGUGUCCUAAAAAUAGGCCGCGGGCACAGUCGCGCCCAAAGAUAACCACCUGAAGGCCGGGGCACCAAGUUCGUCCAGCGGAAAAAGGCCACAAAAACGGGUGGGCUAUAGCCUUGGGGGGUGGGGCUGGCCAACUUCGUCCGCCGGACUCGGAAUGGCGCGAGACUUUUCGAGGCACCUCCGUGUGCCAAAAAUAGGCCGCGGGCACAGCCGCGCCCAAAAAUAACGGCCUGACGGCCGGGGCGCCAAGUUCGUCCCGCGGAAAAAGGCCACAAAACCGGGUGGGCUAUAGCCUUGGGGGGUGGGGCUGGCCAACUUCGUCCGCCGGACUCGGAAUGGUGCGAGACGUUGCGAGGCGCCUCCGUGUGCCAAAAAUAGGCUACGGUCACAGCCGCGCCCAAAAAAUAACCUCGCGAAGGCCGGGACGCCAAGUUCGUCCACGGGAAAAAGUCCACAAAAACGGGUGGGCUAUAGCCUUGGGGGGUGGGGCUGGCCAACUUCGUCCGCUGGACUCGGAAUGGCACGAGACUUUGCGAGGCACCUCCGUGUGCCGAAAAUAGGCCGCGGACACAGGCGCGCCCAAAAAUUAACUGCCCGAAGGCCGGGGCGCCAAGUUCGUCCAGCGGAAAAAGGCCACAAAACCGGGUGGGCUAUAGCAUUGGGGGGUGGGGCUGGCGAACUUUGUCCGCCGGACUCGGAAUGGCGCGAGACUAUGCGAGGUGCCUCCGUGUGCCAAAAAUAGGCUACGGGAACAGCCGCGCCCAAAAAUAACCUCGCGAAGGCCGGGACGCCAAGUUCGUCCAGCGGAAAAAGUCCACAAAAACGGGUGGGCUAUAGCCUUGGGGGGUGGGGCUGGCCAACUUCGUCCGCUGGACUCGGAAUGGCACGAGACUUUGCGAGGCACCUCCGUGUGCCAAAAAUAGGCCGCGGACACAGGCGCGCCCAAAAAUUAACUGCCCGAAGGCCGGGGCGCCAAGUUCGUCCAGCGGAAAAAGGCCACAAAACCGGGUGGGCUAUAGCCUUGGGGGGUGGGGCUGGCCAACUUCGUCCGCCGGACUCGGAAUGGCGCGAGACUUUGCGAGGCACCUCUGUGUGCCAAAAAUAGGCCACGGCCACAGCCGCGCCCAAAAAUAACCUCGCGAAAACCGGGGCGCCUUGUUCGUCCAGUAGAAAAAGUCCACAAAAACGGGUGGGCUAUAGCCUUGGGGGGUGGGGCUGGCCAACUUCGUCCGCCGCACUCGGAAUGGUGCGAGACCUUGCGAGGUGCCUCCGUGUGCCAAAAAUAGGCCGCGGGCACAGCCGCGCCCAAAAAUAACCACCCGAAGGCCGGGGCGCCUUGUUCGUCCAGUAGAAAAAGUCCACAAAAACGGGUGGGCUAUAGCCUUGGGGGGUGGGGCUGGCCAACUUCGUCCGCCGGACUCGGAAUGGCGCGAGACUUUGCGAGGCACCUCUGUGUCCUAAAAAUAGGCCGCGGGCACAGUCGCGCCCAAAAAUAACCACCUGAAGGCCAGGGCACCAAGUUCGUCCAGCGGAAAAAGGCCACAAAAACCGGUGGGCUAUAGCCUUGGGAGGUGGGGCUGGCCAACUUCGUCCGCCGGACUCGGAAUGGCGCAAGACUUUGCGAGGCACCUCCGUGUGCCAAAAAUAGGCUACGGGAACAGCCGCGCCCAAAAAUAACCUCGCGAAGGCCGGGACGCCAAGUUCGUCCAGCGGAAAAAGUCCACAAAAACGGGUGGGCUAUAGCCUUGGGGGGCGGGGCUGGCCAACUACGUCCGUCGGACUCAGAAUGGCGCGAGAUGUUGCGAGGCCCCUCCGUGUACCAAAAAUAGGCUGUGGGCACAGCCGCGCCCAAAAAUAACCGCCCGAAGGCCGGGGCGCCAAGUUCGUCCUGCGGAAAAAGGCCACAAAAACGGGUGGGCUAUAGCCUUGGGGGUGGGGCUGGCCAAAUUCGUCCACCGGACUCGGAAUGGUGCGAGACUUUGCGAGGUGCCUCCGUGUGCCAAAAAUAGGCCGCGGGGACAGCAGCGCCUAAAAAGAACCGCCUGAAGGCCGGGAUGCCAAGUUCGUCCAGCGGAAAAAGGCCCCAAAAACGGGUGGGCUAUAGCCUUGGGGGGUGGUGCUGGCCAACUACGUCCGUCGGACUCAGAAUGGCGCGAGAUGUUGCGAGGCCCCUCCGUGUACC
rnacentral:lncRNA from 1 species